rnacentral:rRNA from 1 species
CCUACGGGUGGCAGCAGUCGAGAAUCAUUCACAAUGGGGGAAACCCUGAUGGUGCGACGCCGCGUGGGGGAAUGAAGGUCUUCGGAUUGUAAACCCCUGUCAUGUGGGAGCAAAUUAAAAAGAUAGUACCACAAGAGGAAGAGACGGCUAACUCUGUGACAGCAGCCGCGGUAAUACAGAGGUCGCAAGCGUUGUUCGGAAAUCCAUGGGCGUAAAGCGUGCGUUGGCUGUUUCGCAAGUCGUGUGUGAAAGGCGCGGGAUCAACCCGCGGACGGCACAUGAUACUGCGAGACUAGAGUAAAGGAGGGGGAAGCGGAAUUCUCGGUGUAGCAGUGAAAUGCGGAGAUAUCGGGAGGAACACUCGUGGCGAAGGCGGGUUCCUGGACAUUAACUGACGCUGAGGCACGAAGGCGAGGGGAGCGAAAGGGAUUAGAUACCCCAGUAGUC